AUACAGAGUGUGGAGCACAGCGGAGGAGUGGGAAGAGAAGCAAGAAAAAUGCAAUGGGCCAAGAGUGAGGAGAACUGAUUUUAUCCGAGCAGUAACUUCUGCUGGCUGCAUCUCCUGGAAGGAAAAUGAGCUGGGAUUGCAUUCCUGCAAGCAGUAAUGGGAGGUUUUAACAUCCACGCUGACCAAGCAGCAGGAUGCCAACCCAGUGAUAUAAUUGAAGUCUCCUGGCUCCGAUUUCUACCAUCCUCAUUCUGAUCACUGCGGGAUGAAAGAAGAUAUUUUCGACGUGGGGAAGGAAAUACCCUACUGCAUUGAGCAGGCACAGACCUGACCAGCAUGUGUGGGGAUGUUUGGCACCAGUGCUUCAAAGGAAUACAUUGUUCACUCUGCUGUAAAGAAUUCCAGGCAGACAUGACGAAAGGGACAUUGCAGCUCAAGAAAAGAGACGUCCCGUGCAGCACUGAUGAAACGGUGUUUGGAAACCAGGAGCGAGCAAACAGGAAAGAUCUUUAACCAUUGAGGAGAUGGGAUCCCAGCGUGUUUUUGGCACCGGCGGGAACAAUGGGGUGAUGUCACAAGCCAGAAUUCCCCACGGUGAAUGGAAGCCCAGCAAAUAAUCAUAAUUCUUUUCUUGGUGCAUUAGUGAAAUUUUUCCACCGUUGGUCAUCCCCCACUGAGUCCCUGUUAGGAAGUACAGGAAGGAGACAUUGUCAAAUGGGGUUUCCUUUGGGAGAACCGUGUCUCCUCCUCCCCAUCAGCUGUUAUAAAUCACAGCUUUCUGCUGACUGCAAGGAAUUCCAGCAGAGCAGUGCUUGCUGCCUAAGCAGUGCUUUACCCCGUGAGGAAGGGUGCACAAGGAGUUCUGGAUUCCUGUAGGGCAGAAGCAUCAUUUGCUGUCCAGCACUUUCAGCCUACACAGCAUCAGUAUGGAGCUUCAUCUUUAUAGUUUCAGAAGUGCUGAGAAUGGCAGGGAGCUUAGGAGACACCAUCCUGGCCAAACAUUGUGGUUUGGAGAGUUUCAGCCUGUGGAAGGCUACCAAAUUGUAUGAGCAAUGCUACAGCAUCCUUCAAAUCCUAACCUCACAUUUUUCUUUUGGCUUCAAACCCACGGUGAGUGACCUGAAGUGUACCUGAAGCACCUAGGUGCUUCAGUAUUGGCAAACCCUCAAUAUUUGUGGUCCCCAUCACGUGAGACCCCAACAUUUGGGUGACCCCAUUCCUCUGGGACUCCCAUAUUUGGUGGCUCCGUUUUUCGAAUGCCAACAUUUGGGACCUCCACAUUUGGAGACAUGGACAUUUUGGAAGUCAACCAUUUGUCCUUCCAAUAUUGGUAGCAUCAGUGGUUGAGACCCCGGUAUUUAGGGGGAUCCUUCUUUUUCUGAAGCAGCUCUGGAACUUCUCUAGCUUCUUUUUUUCGGAUAAAGGCUAGACCCACUUUGUAACUGGGGUUGCUAAUCCAUCCUCCCAGGUGAUGUCAGCAUCAGAACAUUACUGGGCUGUUACUCGAAAUCCAGGCAGCUCCCACCUUUCCAAAAUUUGCUCUGCAAGCUGCUGGCUGUGCUCUGUGUGCAGCACACCAACUCCAGGUUGUGACUUUCCCUUUUUUGUGUGUGUGAGCAUUGGUGUUAGUAGACGGGAGGGGUAGGAUGGCCUGUCUGAGUUGAGAUGGGAUUACCCGUUCAACAGCAAAAUGGACAUUAAUGAGUCUAAACCAAAAAGAAGAAUUAAGACCUGAAUGCCUGCAUGGUUUACUGACAACAGAUUUGUCCUUGUUCUAUUGUUUGUCUGUGGUUUGCAUUAUCAGCACCCAAAUAUAGCAUGAGGGGCUGUUUA